rnacentral:rRNA from 1 species
CAGCCGCCGCGGUAAUACGUAGGCGGCAAGCGUUGUCCGGAAUUAUUGGGCGUAAAGGGAGCGCAGGCGGGAAACUAAGCGGAUCUUAAAAGUGCGGGGCUCAACCCCGUGAUGGGGUCCGAACUGGUUUUCUUGAGUGCAGGAGAGGAAAGCGGAAUUCCCAGUGUAGCGGUGAAAUGCGUAGAUAUUGGGAAGAACACCAGUGGCGAAGGCGGCUUUCUGGACUGUAACUGACGCUGAGGCUCGAAAGCUAGGGUAGCGAACGGGAUUAGAUACCCCGGUAGUCCUAGCCGUAAACGAUGGAUACUAGGUGUGGGAGGUAUCGACUCCUUCCGUGCCGGAGUUAACGCAAUAAGUAUCCCGCCUGGGGAGUACGGCCGCAAGGUUGAAACUUAAAGGAAUUGGCGGG